GACGAACCGUGCGAACGUUGUUCGGAAUCACUGGGCUUAAAGGGCGCGUAGGCGGCUUGCCAAGUCAGGGGUGAAAUCCAGCAGCUUAACUGUUGAAGUGCCUUGAUACUGGCGAGCUCGAGGGAGGUAGGGGUCUGUGGAACUUCUGGUGGAGCGGUGAAAUGCGUUGAUAUCAGAAGGAACGCCGGUGGCGAAAGCGACGGACUGGACCUCUUCUGACGCUGAGGCGCGAAAGCCUAGGGGAGCAAACGGG
rnacentral:rRNA from 1 species